rnacentral:lncRNA from 1 species
GUGUGAAAUUAAGACUUUGGAUGGAAUCAAAUAGGUUACAAUGAGACAAGAUUCAAGUGACUUGCUUGUUGCUGCCCGAAUAGAAGUGCUGUUGCCACUGCCAGGCAGUUGGUUUUAAACUCUGGGUGGAGCAGGAAUCAAAGGUGGGUGGAAGUGCAUCAUUGCACCCCCCUGCAUCCACCCUGGAUCAGGUCUAUCUGUGCCCACAAAGUGGUGCUGAGGCAACACCCCCUGUUCCAGGAGAGCAUGCUCUUAUCCUUGAGUCAUGUCCUUUGGCUGCUGUAGCAUUGCUGGCAGAAAUCCAAGUAGCUCCUGCACAGCCACAAAUUACUCAUCUGGCCCUUUGCCUGUGGAUUUUCCAGGCUCCAAAUUCCUGCCUGGGGUGACUGUAGCAACUGCCCAGUUAAUUCUGGUUAAGGGCCCCAUGGACUCCUUCAAUGAUGGAGGACAUACCAGAAGCAGCAGCUAGUUUUGUGAAACAUUCCAGCCUGUGUUCCAGACCACAGAAGUAGAAGCUAUGCUCUUCUUUGUAGGAGAAACAGGAACACGAACAUAUCUGCACACCCUACCGAUGUGCCUUCAUGGUUCUCUUUAUUUCCCAACUACCACUGACUGUUUUUGGUCUGUCCUUCCCCCUUUCUUCUAAAUAACCUUGAGGUCUCAAGAACAAAUGAAUCAGAUAAGCCAUUCUUUAAAACAGUUGGAAGAAUUGUAAGGUUACUUUUUUAUUUAAACCUCACUUACACUAAGGGAAACUCCUCUAGAGAGUGGACUUCCACAUACAGAAGGAAGGCACACCAGUGCCUUUUUGUAACAGCAUUCUCCCUAGGAAGUUGCUGAUAAGUGAAAAGAAAAGAAAUUUCCUUGCUGCGUAAUAAGUUCUAAUCAUCUGCUCAAUCUUGAUAUUUUUCUCCUCCUUGGGAAAUCUCACACACAUCUCUGCCACCUUUUAGAAGGCUGAUG